CGGACGGGUUAGUAACGCGUGGGAACGUGCCCUUCUCUACGGAAUAGUCCCGGGAAACUGGGUUUAAUACCGUAUACGCCCUUCGGGGGAAAGAUUUAUCGGGGAAGGAUCGGCCCGCGUCUGAUUAGAUAGUUGGUGGGGUAAUGGCCUACCAAGUCGACGAUCAGUAGCUGGUUUGAGAGGAUGAUCAGCAACACUGGGACUGAGACACGGCCCAGACUCCUACGGGAGGCAGCAGUGGGGAAUCUUAGACAAUGGGCGCAAGCCUGAUCUAGCCAUGCCGCGUGAGUGAUGAAGGCCUUAGGGUCGUAAAGCUCUUUCGCUGGGGAAGAUAAUGACUGUACCCAGUAAAGAAACCCCGGCUAACUCCGUGCCAGCAGCCGCGGUAAUACGGAGGGGGUUAGCGUUGUUCGGAAUUACUGGGCGUAAAGCGCGCGUAGGCGGAUUGGAAAGUUGGGGGUGAAAUCCCGGGGCUCAACCCCGGAACGGCCUCCAAAACUAUCAGUCUAGAGGUCGAGAGAGGUGAGUGGAAUUCCGAGUGUAGAGGUGAAAUUCGUAGAUAUUCGGAGGAACACCAGUGGCGAAGGCGGCUCACUGGC
rnacentral:rRNA from 1 species